rnacentral:lncRNA from 10 species
CUGACAUUGAACAAUAACAAUCGCUAUUACUUGCUAAACACUGUUGUAGGUAUUCUAUUAACUUACACAGAUUCAGUACUUUUACUAUCAUUUUACACGAGGAAGAAGUUGAAGCACAAAGUUACUUUGCCCAGUUUAUGCAGGUGGUUAAGUGGCAGAGCUAGGGUUCAAACUCAGGCAAUGUAGCUCUUAAGGGUGGCCCUUAAAUGUUGGUUGAAGGAAGAAAUUGCAUUUGGAUAGAAAUCAAAGAACAGGUAAAGUGGGCAAAAUUAGGCGAGGUUAGAGCAAGGCAAGGGUAAAAACGCGCUGGAAAGGCCCUAAGCUGUUGGUUUCCCCUCGGUGUCGGGAGAAGGUUAGUGUUGAAGGAAAGGGUCUACUUUGUCAAUGGAAACAAGGUAGGAAAAGAAAAAGCAAAACAUAGAUCAAUGAAGGGAGAAGGUGGGGCGGCCAGUCCAGAUCUAAAGACGGUGCGGGGGGAUUUGGCAACACGUGUGUGCAAGACAGACAGACGGGAGGCCCCGCGGCGCGUUUUCCUAGGAAUGAAAGGGACCCGCGGGGCGAGCACCCCCAAACUCGGCGCCCCGGGGACCUGCGCUGAGACACGGGCCGG